rnacentral:misc_RNA from 1 species
AACCAUUCUCACCUGCGGCUAGACCUGCGGAGGGAUCAUUACCGAGUUUACAACUCCCAAACCCCUGUGAACAUACCUAUACGUUGCCUCGGCGGAUCAGCCCGCGCCCCGUAAAAAGGGACGGCCCGCCCGAGGACCCCUAAACUCUGUUUUUAGUGGAACUUCUGAGUAAAACAAACAAAUAAAUCAAAACUUUCAGCAAUGGAUCU